UACGUAGGGUGCAAGCGUUGUCCGGAUUUAUUGGGCGUAAAGAGCGUGUAGGCGGUUAGGUAGGUCCGUUGUGAAAACUCGAGGCUCAACCUCGAGACGCCGAUGGAAACCAUCUAACUAGAGUCCGGAAGAGGAGAGUGGAAUUCCUGGUGUAGCGGUGAAAUGCGCAGAUAUCAGGAAGAACACCCGUGGCGAAGGCGGCUCGCUAGUACGGUACUGACGCUGAGACGCGAAAGCGUGGGGAGCGAACAGG
rnacentral:rRNA from 1 species